rnacentral:rRNA from 1 species
GUUCUUAGUUCGUGGAUUGAUUUGUCUGGUUUAUUCCGAUAACGAACGAGACUUUAACUAUUAAAUAGUGCGCAUGUUGCUUCGGCUGCGUGUGAUCACUUCUUAAAGGAAUUUGUGGUUUUCAACCUCAAGAAAUUGAGCAAUAACAGGUCUGUGAUGCCCUUAGAUGUUCGGGGCCGCACGCGUGCUACAAUGGUGGUAACAGCGUGAUUGUCCUUUUCCGACAGGAAUUGGCAAACAGUUGAGAUAUUAUUAUGGCUGGAAUUGAGUGUUGAAAUUUUCUCUCAUGAACGAGGAAUUCCAAGUAAAUGUGAGUCAUUAACUUGCAUUGAUUACGUCCCUGCCCUUUGUACACACCGCCCGUCGCUGCCCGGGACUGAGUUACUUCGAGAAAACUAGGGAUCGCUGGAGUUCGAUGUUUCGGCAUUGUCUUUGGUGAGAACUAGUUUAAUCGCAGUGGCUUGAACCGGGCAAAAGUCGUAACAAGGUAGCCGUAGGUGAACCUUCGGCUGGAUCAUUACCGAUCCUAUGACACAUUUAUUCGUGCUCGUCACGAUGAUGCGAUUGGUGACUUCGGUUGCCGCGCAUGAUGGCGGUUCGAUUCGCGUCGUUCCGCCUACUUAUGGUUCGCAUGGAAGCCGAGAGGCGACCGUGCAACGGUGAAGUCUGGGUUUCUACGUGCUGUUGUUGAGUUGGCGUUUUACCGUGCCGACAGAUGAGACCAGCCAGCUGCUUGCCGAUUCGUUCUGGCGAGCGUAGGAUUGAAAAGCCCGAGAGGCUGCCCUGACAAAACAUUCAUUUUACAUUUAUUUUGUUGGAAAAGAGCUUUAAGUUACUCCGGUGGAUCACUUGGCUCGCGGGUCGAUGAAGAACGCAGUGAAUUGCGAUAAUAAGUACGAAUUACAGAUAUUAUGAGUACCAUGUUUUUGAAUGCAUAUUGCGCUCUUGGGCUUUGCUCUUGAGCAUAUUCGAUUCAGGGUGUGUUUUUAAACUCGAGCAGAAACGCCGACUUGUUUUUUUCAAGUUUCUGCACGUUGUGACAGUCGUCUCGCAUUGUUCACGCAAUGUUAGGCACCAUCUGUUUUACGCGGUUUGUUCCGCGACCAAUAUCUUCUACGCACUGUUUGUCCGUGCGGGGCGAGAGGGCUUCGUGCUCGAUUGUCGUGCGCGGCUAAACCGUUUGGUGAUGUUGUUUCAACGGCGCGGCCGUCAGGGACGUUCGGAUGAGAAUGUUUGGAGUCCUGGCUGCGGUUUGUUGAGCUUCGUCGUGAAGCCUUGCGGGCAGUGUUGUCGGAAUUGGUUGAAACCACCUGAGUUGGGUAUGACUACCUGCUGAACUUAAGCAUAUCAGUAAGCAGAGGAAAAGAAACAAACAUGGAUUCCCU